rnacentral:tRNA from 1 species
UACAUCAUCCGAGAAUCGAACACGGACCUCGUCGAUGGCAACGACGAAUCUACCAUUAGAUCAAUGAUGC